rnacentral:lncRNA from 1 species
GGGGCAAACAGAAGUCACCUCUUUGAUACUUUGGUUCCUAUAGCUAAGCUAAGGGCAGUUUGGUUGGGCAUCUCUUAUAGAGGUAGAUCUUGGGAGUAGACCUAUUAGUCAUUGAGGGGGCUUUUGUCAUGGUGGUUGGGUGGAUUCAAAAUCAAGCGUAGAUGUCACAUACCCAACUUCUCUUGUGCGAUAUCCAAAGGUUUUUGAUAG